UACAGAGGGGGCAAGCGUUAUUCGGAAUUAUUGGGCGUAAAGGGCGCGUAGGCGGCUUUGCAAGUGACGGGUGAAAUCCCUCGGCUUAACCGAGGAACUGCCUGUCAAACUGCAUGGCUUGAGUCCGGGAGAGGUGAGUGGAAUUCCCAGUGUAGCGGUGAAAUGCGUAGAUAUUGGGAGGAACACCAGUGGCGAAGGCGGCUCACUGGACCGGUACUGACGCUGAUGCGCGAAAGCGUGGGGAGCAAACAGG
rnacentral:rRNA from 1 species